rnacentral:sRNA from 1 species
UGUGUAUAACACACACGGAUCGGCACAUGCGCCGGGGUGCUCCGAAGCGUUCAGCUGACAGGGAGUCGGUAGCAUGGGAUCCGUGGAGGCAUAAC